AGUGAACGCUGGCGGUAGGCCUAACACAUGCAAGUCGAACGGCAGCACAGUAAGAGCGUGCUCUUACGGGUUGCGAGUGGCGGACGUGUGAGGAAUGCAUCGGAAUCUACUUUUUCGUGUGGGAUAACGUAGGGAAACUUACUCUAAUACCGCAUACGACCUACGGGGGAAAGCAUGGGAUCUUCUGACCUGUCGGGAUUGAAUGAGCCGAUGUCGGAGUAGCUAGUGGGCGGGUUAAAGGCCCACCAAGGCGACGAUCCGUAGCUGGUCUGAGUGGCUGGUCGCCGACACUGGAGCUGAGCCACGGUCCAGAGUCCUGCGGGAGGCACCAGUCGGCAAUGUUGGACAAUGGGCGGAAGUAUGACCCAGUGAUCCCACGUGGGUGGCGACAGCCUUCCGGUCGUAAAGCCCUUUUGCUGGGUGUGAACCGCUGUCGCUUAAUACGAAGCUGUUGUGACGGUAACCAAUGAAGAAGCACCGGCUAACUACGUG
rnacentral:rRNA from 1 species